UUUUGAACAAUGGGCGCAAGCCUGAUCCAGCAAUUCCGCGUGAGUGAAGAAGGCCUUCGGGUUGUAAACCUCUUUUGUCAGGGAAGAAACGGUGUGCUUUAAUACAGUUUGCUAAUGACGGUACCGGAAGAAUAAACCCCGGCUAACUACGUGCCAGCAGCCGCGGUAAUACGUAGGAUGCAAGCGUUAAUUCGAAUUACUGGGGGUAAAGCGUGCGCAGGCGGUUAUGUAAGUCAGAUGUGAAAUCCCCGGGCUCAACCUGGGAAUGGCAUUUGAGACUGCAUGGCUAGAGUGUGUCAGAGGGGGGUAGAAUUCCACGGUAGCAGUGAAAUGCGUAGAGAUGUGGAGGAACACCGAUGGCGAAGGCAACCCCCGGGGAAACACUACGCUCAUCACGAAGC
rnacentral:rRNA from 1 species